AUUGAACGCUGGCGGCAGGCUUAACACAUGCAAGUCGAGCGGGGGAAGGUAGCUUGCUACCGGACCUAGCGGCGGACGGGUGAGUAAUGCUUAGGAAUCUGCCUAUUAGUGGGGGACAACAUCUCGAAAGGGAUGCUAAUACCGCAUACGUCCUACGGGAGAAAGCAGGGGAUCUUCGGACCUUGCGCUAAUAGAUGAGCCUAGGUCGGAUUAGCUAGUUGGUGGGGUAGAGGCCUACCAAGGCGACGAUCUGUAGCGGGUCGGAGAGGAUGAUCCGCCACACUGGGACUGAGACACGGCCCAGACCCCUACGGGAGGCAGCAGUGGGGAAUAUGGGACAAUGGGGGGAACCCUGCUCCAGCCAUGCCGCGUGUGUGAAGAAGGCCUUAUGGUUGUAAAGCACUUUAAGCGAGGAGGAGGCUACUCUAGUUAAUACCUAGGGAUAGUGGACGUUACUCGCAGAAUAAGCACCGGCUAACCCUGUGCCAGCCGCCGCCGUAA
rnacentral:rRNA from 1 species